rnacentral:lncRNA from 1 species
AAAAAACUUACGAAAUGAUAUGAUUUACUAUGAAAGACACUCAAUCUUUUAUACAUAUGGGAACCUCGUGGGUGCACCAAAAAGGAAUAAGAGAUAGAAGGUUAUUCCUCAAGUGUACAAAACCAUCUCUACUCCAUCAAAAGCGCUCCAAAUCUUCUCUGUUCAUACAGUCCAUAAGUACAGAGGAGCAGCAUGCCAUAACCUGUGUCUCCUCCGUCUUCUAAAGGUCCAACUAAAUAUUGUUUCUUUCAUAGCAUUACUCACUCCAUCACAGGAUUUCCCACCUCAACUAAGACGCUAUUCGACAAAGUAAAUGGAAGUGAUUCACAUCUUUCCCUGAGUUUUUACACAUGAAGCGCCAACCAACAAAUAAACUUCUUCUUCCCCAAGUUCUCCACCGUGAAGAUUAACCCCACACGCAGCUAGCCAAGUGAAAACAUACACCUUUCUCGACUCCUCCAUAGUAAUAAGCUUCUCAUAAUAGGACUUACAUAGAAAUAGAGGAGCAACAUCCCAUACCCUGUGUCCUCUGUCUUCUAAAGGUCCAACAAAACACUGUU